AAUGACUGCGGAUGCGAGAUCUCUGGUCCAUCAAGCAAGGAAUGAAGCAGCUGAAUUUCGUUUUAAAUGGGGAUAUGAGAUGCCGGUGGACGUAUUGGCUAAGUGGAUUGCGGACAAAGCACAGUUGUAUACACAACAUGCCUAUAUGAGACCUCUUGGUGUAGCUACGAUGAUUCUGGGUAUUGAUGAAGAAAAAGGACCUUAUCUUUUCAAAUGUGACCCAGCUGGUCAUUUUUUUGGACACAAGGCUACAAGUGCUGGUUCAAAAGAGCAAGA
rnacentral:misc_RNA from 1 species